UACGUAGGGGGCAAGCGUUGUCCGGAAUUACUGGGCGUAAAGAGCUCGUAGGUGGUUUGUCGCGUUGUCCGUGAAAACUCACAACUCAAUUGUGGGCGUGCGGGCGAUACGGGCAGACUGGAGUACUGCAGGGGAGACUGGAAUUCCUGGUGUAGCGGUGGGAAUGCGCAGAUAUCAGGAGGAACACCGGUGGCGAAGGCGGGUCUCUGGGCCGAAAUUGACGCUGAGGAGCGAAAGCGUGGGGAGCAAACAGG
rnacentral:rRNA from 1 species